rnacentral:tRNA from 1 species
UAGCUCAGGUGGUUAGAGCGCACCCCUGAUAAGGGUGAGGUCGGUGGUUCAAGUCCANN